AGCAGCCGCGGUAAUUCCAGCUCCAAUAGCGUAUAUUAAAGUUGUUGCAGUUAAAAAGCUCGUAGUUGAAUUUCGGGAUCAAUAUAUCGGUCGUGCCUUGGUACGUACUGGUAUCAUUGGUUUCUCCUUUCUGACGAACCAUGAUGUCAUUAAUUUGGUGUUAUGGGAAGUUAGGACUGUUACUUUGAAAAAAUUAGAGUGUUUAAAGCAGGCUUUAGCUUGAAUACAUUAGCAUGGAAUAAUGAAAUAGGACGUUCGAACCUAUUUUGUUGGUUUCUAGGAUCAACGUAAUGAUUAAUAGGGAUAGUUGGGGGCAUUAGUAUUCAAUUGUCAGAGGUGAAAUUCUUGGAUUUAUUGAAGACUAACUACUGCGAAAGCAUUUGCCAAGGAUGUUUUCAUUAAUCAAGAACGAAAGUUAGGGGAUCGAAGACGAUCAGAUACCGUCGUAGUCUUAACCAUAAACUAUGCCGACUAGGGAUCGGAUGAUGUUAAUUUUUUAAUGACUCAUUCGGCGCCUUACG
rnacentral:rRNA from 2 species